rnacentral:rRNA from 1 species
GGGGUAACGGCCUACCAAGGCGACGAUACGUAGCCGACCUGAGAGGGUGAUCGGCCACACUGGAACUGAGACACGGUCCAGACUCCUACGGGAGGCAGCAGUAGGGAAUCUUCCGCAAUGGGCGAAAGCCUGACGGAGCAACGCCGCGUGAGUGAUGAAGGUCUUCGGAUCGUAAAGCUCUGUUGUUAGGGAAGAACAAAUGUGUAAGUAACUGUGCACAUCUUGACGGUACCUAACCAGAAAGCCACGGCUAACUACGUGCCAGCAGCCGCGGUAAUACGUAGGUGGCAAGCGUUAUCCGGAAUUAUUGGGCGUAAAGCGCGCGUAGGCGGUUUUUUAAGUCUGAUGUGAAAGCCCACGGCUCAACCGUGGAGGGUCAUUGGAAACUGGAAAACUUGAGUGCAGAAGAGGAAAGUGGAAUUCCAUGUGUAGCGGUGAAAUGCGCAGAGAUAUGGAGGAACACCAGUGGCGAAGGCGGCUUUCUGGUCUGCAACUGACGCUGAUGUGCGAAAGCGUGGGGAUCAAACAGGAUUAGAUACCCUGGUAGUCCACGCCGUAAACGAUGAGUGCUAAGUGUUAGGGGGUUUCCGCCCCUUAGUGCUGCAGCUAACGCAUUAAGCACUCCGCCUGGGGAGUACGGUCGCAAGACUGAAACUCAAAGGAAUUGACGGGGACCCGCACAAGCGGUGGAGCAUGUGGUUUAAUUCGAAGCAACGCGAAGAACCUUACCAAAUCUUGACAUCCUUUGACCGCUCUAGAGAUAGAGUUUUCCUCUUCGGAGGACAAAGUGACAGGUGGUGCAUGGUUGUCGUCAGCUCGUGUCGUGAGAUGUUGGGUUAAGUCCCGCAACGAGCGCAACCCUUGAACUUAGUUGCCAUCAUUCAGUUGGGCACUCUAAGUUGACUGCCGGUGACAAACCGGAGGAAGGUGGGGAUGACGUCAAAUCAUCAUGCCCCUUAUGAUUUGGGCUACACACGUGCUACAAUGGACAAUACAAAGGGCAGCGAAACCGCGAGGUCAAGCAAAUCCCAUAAAGUUGUUCUCAGUUCGGAUUGUAGUCUGCAACUCGACUACAUGAAGCUGGAAUCGCUAGUAAUCGUAGAUCAGCAUGCUACGGUGAAUACGUUCCCGGGUCUUGUACACACCGCCCGUCACACCACGAGAGUUUGUAACACCCGAAGCCGGUGGAGUAACCAUUUUGGAGCUAGCCGUCGAAGGUGGGACAAAUGAUUGGGGUGAAGUCGUAACAAGGUAGCCGUAUCGGAAGGUGCGGCUGGAUCACCUCCUUUCUA